rnacentral:rRNA from 1 species
AUUGAACGCUGGCGGCAGGCCUAACACAUGCAAGUCGAACGCGUGGCGGGAGGGUGAGUAAUGUCUGGGAAACUGCCUGAUGGAGGGGGAUAACUACUGGAAACGGUAGCUAAUACCGCAUACCAUCAGAUGUGCCCAGAUGGGAUUAGCUUGUUGUGGGGGUAACGGCGCACCAAGGCGACGAUCCCUAGCUGGUCUGAGAGGAGGACCAGCCAAACUGGAACUGAGACACGGUCCAUACUCCUACGGGAGGAAGCAGUGGGGAAUAUUGCACAAGGGGCGCAAGCCUGAUGCAGCCAUGCCGGGUGUAUGAAGAAGGCCGUCGGGUUGUAAAGUACUUGCAGCGGUGAGGCGUUACCCGCAGAAGAAGCACCGGCUAACUCCGUGCCAGCCGCCGCGGUAAUAC